rfam:Streptomyces ipomoeae 91-03 gcontig_1108499726543, whole genome shotgun sequence.
GCCCUGGUAGUCCAAUUGGCAGCAGACGAUGGUCUCAAACACCAUACAGUGUGGGUUCGAGUCCCACCCAGGGCA